rnacentral:rRNA from 1 species
CGAGGGCACUCCUUCGGGGGUGUUUCUAGUGGCGAACGGGUGAGUAACACGUGGGCAACCUGCCCCCGGCUCUGGGAUAACUCCAAGAAAUUGGGGCUAAUACCGGAUGUGCACCGCUUCCCGCAUGGGGGGUGGUGGAAAGGGUUUCCGGCUGGGGAUGGGCCCGCGGCCUAUCAGCUUGUUGGUGGGGUAGUGGCCUACCAAGGCGACGACGGGUAGCCGGCCUGAGAGGGUGACCGGCCACACUGGGACUGAGACACGGCCCAGACUCCUACGGGAGGCAGCAGUGGGGAAUAUUGCGCAAUGGGCGGAAGCCUGACGCAGCGACGCCGCGUGGGGGAUGACGGCCUUCGGGUUGUAAACCUCUUUCAGCAGGGACGAAGCGCAAGUGACGGUACCUGCAGAAGAAGCACCGGCCAACUACGUGCCAGCAGCCGCGGUAAUACGUAGGGUGCAAGCGUUGUCCGGAAUUAUUGGGCGUAAAGAGCUCGUAGGCGGUUCGUCGCGUCGGCUGUGAAAACCCGGAGCUCAACUCCGGGCCUGCAGUCGAUACGGGCGGACUGGAGUUCGGCAGGGGAGACUGGAAUUCCUGGUGUAGCGGUGAAAUGCGCAGAUAUCAGGAGGAACACCGGUGGCGAAGGCGGGUCUCUGGGCCGAUACUGACGCUGAGGAGCGAAAGCGUGGGGAGCGAACAGGAUUAGAUACCCUGGUAGUCCACGCCGUAAACGUUGGGCGCUAGGUGUGGGGGCCAUUCCACGGUCUCCGUGCCGCAGCUAACGCAUUAAGCGCCCCGCCUGGGGAGUAC